CAUAAAAAAGCUCCAUGAUAAAUGUUAAAAGUUAUAUAGGUCUGAGUCGUUAUUGACUGAUUCCUUGUCCAGUUUGGGUCAAUAUUUCAUCAAUGAACUGGAAAACAGGCUGGAUUUGACUUAAUAUGUACUUGGACUGGACACUGGACUUGUGGACGAAGAGGACCACCGGCCCAUGAAAACUACGCAGUUGGUCAAAAAUCUUGCACGUUUUUUUCCACAGUUUCCAGUAAUAAGUUGGAACAAAGUUGUUAAUAAGAGAGAAGUCUGUGGUUUGGUUUCGUUUGAAGGUUCAUUGGUCGUAAAAGAUGGCAUAAUUUUUGAGUACGUACAGGAUUGGAUAUCCCCCACCCGACGAUCCUACUACUCGGCACACGGAAGCCACCGUGGCCGAGUUCGACUGUAAAAAGGAAGAACCUCUCUCCAGCUCAGACAGACCGGCCCGAGGAUUCCGAGUGUGAACACCUCGACAACUCUUCUCUCCAUAUUUUCUUGCACCACGCCUUCUGCGUGGCUGCCAUUUUGGAAAUACAUUAUUAUAAAAAAUUAAGUUCCUAAAAUUCAUUUAUUGUACACGUUAUGAUCGUUUAAUGUAAGGAGUAAAGAUUUCUUAAAACCUUGUCAAGUGAAACUUAUUGUGUGCACCGAUAUUGAACAGUUUAUUCGGGUCAUUGUUCAUAAAAAAUCGUACAUUGAGUCGUGCUAGGUGCAGUUUAGUAUAGAAACGGUGCAUAAGUGGAAAUCGGAGUAAAAAAAACAAUACAGUAUUUCUAAUUGCCAAGCGAGAGACAAUUCAUCCUCCUCCCCGUGCGUCGUAGCUCCCAUCCGGUUCCCCCCCUGUGGCCAGUGAAGGUGUCCCGUGAUCAGAAGCGUGUCGCAUCCGUCCCCCAAGGACCCUGACGUCCGGUACUCGAUGACUCGCGCCCAUAUUCCCCUACCGAGCCCACGGCGACAUCAUCUCCGCCCACAGUUAAUUAAGCAAAUUUAUGUGUAAAUUGGUGCAGAAAUUGGGAAUAUAUUUGUGCGAAUUAUUGGCACAAAUAUAUAUUGGAUGAAUAAUUCUAGUAGUAAUAAUUAAUUAACUAAUGAGGAAUUGCGUAAAUUUUACAACUUUUUUUAGGGUCGUCCACUAAAUACUAAAUUAAUUCUGUAGUUUACACCUUUUUUCAUUAUGUCAAAAUUCAUUUCACUUAAUACUAAAACAUACGUAUUGACGUCUAAAUUUGACAGACAAAAAUAACUUAAAGUGCUAAAUUGUAAAAUUACAUUAUAUUAUAUAAAGUAAUAUUAAAAUUACUCGGUAUUAUUAUUUCUAAGCUAGUAACUUUGCACAGUUUACUCUGCUAAAAGUUUAUCCCAUUGAAAAUGGGAUAAAUAAAUGAUAUAUAAGUUAAUUAAUUAAAUUUCCACAUAAUUAGUCUAAAAUUGUGCAAAUUAGUGGCACAAAAAUAUAUGCGCGCGAUAAACUGGAAAUAAUCAGCAUA